UCUUCUCUCCACCCACCCACAUGCGAAUAUGCGAUGCGACAAGCCACGCCACCGUCGUCUCCUCCCGCUCUUCCGCGCCCAUGGAGACGACGCGUUGAGCCGUCGCCGCCAUCGAUGAGGAGCGCGAUGCUCGACUCAUCUGCGGGGAGAGGGUUGACAUUGAUUAAUUCCCAGCAGAAUGUUAUGUGUAGGGUAAUGAUAUUGGAGUUGUGCCUUGAGGACUAUCCUUUGUGUGGAUUGGAGUUGGAGCCUUUCCAAACAUUCUGAGUGUAAAGGUGUAUGUAAAUACAUGAUUGGGAGUAUUUUCCUGCUUCCAGAACUGGCCUGAUUCUGCCAAAUGUUCAGCUUCAACAGGGUAAUUCUUCAAUUCUAGAAACUGGUGGUUGAGUAACAUGAUGUUCUCCAUCACCUUGUGCUAUGCAUGAAACUGGUGGCUGAAAGUGAAGAUAUGCAUGAAUGCUUGCCAAGACCUAGUUGUACUACAUGUGUUGCCAUUGAUAGGAGUUCAAAUUAAAAUGUUAAUCCCGCUACACAGGAUAAUAACAUGAGUGCUUGAAAAAGGAAAGGAGGCUGAGUUCAUAUGUGUUCAACCUUUAUACAAGGGUAAUUCUUCAAUUCUAGAAACAGGUAGUUGAGUAAUGUGAUGUUUUCCAUCACUUUGUGCUAUGCAAGAGCCUGAAUUCAACCUAUUGGAGAUUUUUGGGGUUCUACUGUUUUGCUCAAUGACAGAAUGAAAUACUUCAAAGCAGGAUUUCAGAGACGAACGUGGAAGAUGGAACUGCACAGAACUGUUUGAAAUAAAGUGCUGAUGGAAUGAUUCCUCUCCUUUAUUUUGGUAUAUCACUACUACGUAGACUACCAUACUGUUGGUUCUGUAGCCCAUACUCUUCCUAUGGCAUGAUGUUGGCCGACCACUAUAUUUUGCCGACUUCCAAUCAUUUUUGUAUAGAUAGGGUAAUGACAUUGUCUUGUUAAUGGGACUUUGCUAGGUGUGAUGGGGUGGUUAUCCCUAUUGCACUGAUAAUCUUUUGCUGGAAUAUGUCAUGCUAAUGACAUUGUCUAGAGACUUCUAAAAUUUUGAAAUUCAUCUUUAACUUUCAUGAUC